rnacentral:rRNA from 1 species
AUUGAACGCUGGCGGCAGGCUUAACACAUGCAAGUCGAACGAGUGGCGGACGAGUGCGUAAUGUCUGGGAAACUGCCUGCUGGAGGGGGAUAAAUACUGGAAACGGUAGCUGAUACCGAAUACCAUCGUAUGUGGCCAUAGGGGAGUAGCUUGUAGGUGGGGUAACGGGGCACCUGGGCGACGAUCCCUAGCUGGUCUGAGAGGAUGACCAGCCACACUGGAACUGAGACACGGUCCAGACUCCUACGGGAGGCAGCAGUGGGGAAUAUUGCACAAUGGGCGCAAGCCUGAUGCAGCCAAGCCGCGUGUAUGAAGAAGGCCUUCGGGUUGUAAAGCACGUUCAGCGCGGAGGCGUUACUCGCAGAAGAAGCACCGGCUAACUCCGUGCCAGCAGCCGCGGUAAUUC